GACGAACGCUGGCGGCGUGCUUAACACAUGCCAGUCGAACGGAAAGGCCUCUUUCGGGGGGUACUCGAGUGGCGAACGGGUGAGUAACACGUGAGUAACCUGCCCUUGACUUUGGGAUAACUUCAGGAAACUGGGGCUAAUACCGGAUAGGAGCUCCUGCUGCAUGGUGGGGGUUGGAAAGUUUCGGCGGGUGGGGAUGGACUCGCGGCUUAUCAGCUUGUUGGUGGGGUAGUGGCUUACCAAGGCGUUGACGGGUAGCCGGCCUGAGAGGGUGACCGGCCACAGUGGGACUGAGAUACGGCCCAGACGCCUACGGGAGGCAGCAGUGGGGAAUAUUGCACAAUGGGUGGAAGCCUGAUGCAGCAACGCCGUGUGCGGGAUGACGGCCUUCGGGUUGUAAACCGCUUUCGCUCAUGACGAAGCUUUGUGUGACGGUAGUGGGUAAAGAAGCACCGGCUAACUACGUG
rnacentral:rRNA from 1 species